CCCAUACAAAAUUUGUUGUACUCUCCCAUAAUAUCCCGAUUUUUCUAUUUACACUCCACCAUGAAUCAUAAGAGGGAGAAACAAAGAAGAAGAAAGAAACAGGGAGAAGAAAAAAAGGACAAAGAACCCUUCCAUUUCCAUGUAAAAGCAACCUUGAACUUCAAGUCUUGAAAAUACUAAUCAUGCCAACAAAGAAGCAUGACCACACACCUUCUUAUUAUGUAAAGCCUUGCCCUUUGCUCUCUAAUAACUCCUCCAAGUCCUUUGUUUGAUGAAGAUGAUAGCCUUCUCUUUGAGCCUCCAAUGGUAGCACUACUACCCAUCUUCAUUUUUCUCCGCUUAACUCUUUUUUCUUCUCUCUUAGAAAUGGAUAAAUAAUGGGGUUGUUUUUGUUUCCACUCUUUGAACAUGUGUGUGUGAUGUGUGACUUGGUUUAGAAUUGGUGAGAAGUGAGGGUUCUUAAAGGGCUUUCAGGGUGUGGUCCAAACACACCUUGGUCUAGUAAAGAGCCAGCUAUGGGGCAUGAAAGGGUGUGCAAUGCUUCCAAUAUCACCAGACAGGUACUAAUUGGACCCCAUCUUCA
rnacentral:lncRNA from 1 species